rnacentral:rRNA from 1 species
UACGAAGGGGUCUAGCGUUGCUCGGAAUCACUGGGCGUAAAGGGUGCGUAGGCGGUGAGGUAAGUCUGAUGUGAAAUCUCCGAGCUUAACUCGGAAAUGGCAUUGGAAACUACUUUGCUAGAGGGUUGGAGGGGAGACUGGAAUUCUUGGUGUAGCAGUGAAAUGCGUAGAUAUCAAGAGGAACACCAGUGGCGAAAGCGAGUCUCUGGACAGCACCUGACACUGAGGCACGAAAGCUAGGGGAGCAAACAGG